GGCAGUUCUUGGGUGAUGCACCCUGGCAUCGGGCUCCCUCCUCUCUGGUUCCGGAGUGCAUCACUCGAGGAGCA
rfam:Myotis davidii contig167235, whole genome shotgun sequence.